rnacentral:rRNA from 1 species
UGGGGGAUAUUGCACAAUGGGGGAAACCCUGAUGCAGCGACGCCGCGUGGAGGAAGAAGGUUUUCGGAUUGUAAACUCCUGUCGUUAGGGACGAUAAUGACGGUACCUAACAAGAAAGCACCGGCUAACUACGUGCCAGCAGCCGCGGUAAAACGUAGGGUGCAAGCGUUGUCCGGAAUUACUGGGUGUAAAGGGAGCGCAGGCGGACCGGCAAGUUGGAAGUGAAAACUAUGGGCUCAACCCAUAAAUUGCUUUCAAAACUGCUGGCCUUGAGUAGUGCAGAGGUAGGUGGAAUUCCCGGUGUAGCGGUGGAAUGCGUAGAUAUCGGGAGGAACACCAGUGGCGAAGGCGACCUACUGGGCACCAACUGACGCUGAGGCUCGAAAGCAUGGGUAGCAAA